rnacentral:lncRNA from 1 species
CUUAAUCAAUGGUCCAUGAUCAAUGGUAGAUAAUAUUAAUUUGAUAGAUCUAAUUAGUCCUAACCACUUUUAAUUUAAAAUUUAAUAUAUUUAUAUAAAUUACGUUAACUACUUCCAAUUCUAGAAAAUAAGAAAUAGUGAUUUUCAUUUAAGUUGCAAUCUAAAGACGAAUGUCAAAGUAUAAUUAUGUUGAAUAGCUCAAAACUCUUCGUCUACAUUCUAAUAAAUAAAGUGUGAAAGUAAUGCAAACCAUCAAUUAAUUAGAAGAAAAAUAGGGAGAGGGAAAUAUUCUAUCAUAGAGACAAUUUUUAUUAUUAAUUUCUUAUUAAUGCCAGCAUUUUUAUGAUGUUAUGAUAAAAAAAAUGUAUAAAAUAUCAAAAUGCAUUAAUAAUAAAGAUCAUAUAUACAUCUUAAAUAUUCAAACUAAAAGAUUCAACUAAUAUAUUAAAAUUGUAAUGAAUAAUAAUAAAAUAUAUGCCGGGAGUUGGGACAGAGUAAGAAAAAAAUAAUCAUCACAUUAUAAAUGAACAAUUAUUAGAAUAUGUGGAAGAAUUGUUGACAUAUAAAAUCAACAAUCGAAAAAGGGAGCAUGAAGUGAAGCAGUGAAUAUUUCAAAGUUCCCUCCCUUUUAAAACAAUAAAUUUAAAAUGACUUUCAUUAUAUUCAUAAUUUAUAUAUAAUUUAUCCAGAUUUGAAA